rnacentral:ribozyme from 1 species
AGAGAAAAGAGGGAGAAAGAGAGAAACAUAAAUAUUUCGUCCUUUUGUUUUCCCGUUUCAUUCUUCCUUUGCGUCUUUUCAAAUUUCAACUUAAUUUUCAAUAUCUUGUCCUUCUCAAUUUUCAAAAAACAGUAUGAAA